rnacentral:rRNA from 1 species
GAGUUUGAUCCUGGCUCAGGACGAACGCUGGCGGCGCGCCUAACACAUGCAAGUCGAACGGGACUAUGCGAGAUGAAGUUUUCGGAUGGAAUUUUGUGUAGUUUAGUGGCGGACGGGUGAGUAACACGUGAGCAACCUGCCUUCGAGAGGGGAAUAACGGCUGGAAACGGUCGCUAAUACCGCAUAACAUACGGGAGGGACAUCCCUUUUGUAUCAAAGAUUUAUCGCUCGAAGAUGGGCUCGCGUCCGAUUAGGUAGUUGGUGAGGUAACGGCCCACCAAGCCGACGAUCGGUAGCCGGACUGAGAGGUUGAACGGCCACAUUGGGACUGAGACACGGCCCAGACUCCUACGGGAGGCAGCAGUGGGGGAUAUUGCACAAUGGGGGAAACCCUGAUGCAGCGACGCCGCGUGUAGGAAGACGGUCCUCUGGAUUGUAAACUACUGUCCCCAGGGACGAAGAUGACGGUACCUGGGGAGGAAGCUC